UACGAAGGGGGCUAGCGUUGCUCGGAAUCACUGGGCGUAAAGCGCACGUAGGCGGAUUGCUAAGUCAGGGGUGAAAUCCUGGAGCUCAACUCCAGAACUGCCUUUGAUACUGGCGAUCUCGAGUCCGGGAGAGGUGAGUGGAACUGCGAGUGUAGAGGUGAAAUUCGUAGAUAUUCGCAAGAACACCAGUGGCGAAGGCGACAUCCUGGACCGGUAUUGACGCUGAGGCGCGAAAGCCAGGGGAGCAAACGGG
rnacentral:rRNA from 1 species